rnacentral:rRNA from 1 species
UACGUAAGGUGCAAGCGUUAAUCGGAAUUACUGGGCGUAAAGCGUGCGCAGGCGGCUUUGCAAGACAGAUGUGAAAUCCCCGGGCUUAACCUGGGAACUGCAUUUGUGACUGCAUGGCUGGAGUGCGGCAGAGGGGGAUGGAAUUCCGCGUGUAGCAGUGAAAUGCGUAGAUAUCAGGAGGAAUACCGAUGGCGAAGGCAGGUCUCUGGGCUGACACUGACGCUCAUGCACGAAAGCGUGGGGAGCAAACAGGAU